UGUGGGUGACCACUAACUACCGUAUAACUAUUACUAGAAUGUUUUGCGAGCAUGCAUCAAACAUUUGUGAACUUUGCGAUGGUUGAUCAAUUACAAACCUAAAUUAUUACUAGUAAAUACACACGAUCCUUGCCAGAACGCAAUAGUUAGAUCGCAAAGGGUCAAAUUUUGCUGAUUUCCCUCUCAUUCAAAGGUUUUUCACCAGCAAAAUAUUCUAGUAAUACGGCAUGGGUGACCACUACAUUCCUUGUCUUAUCUCUAUCUUUUACUUCACUUCUACAGCACUCAAAGUUUCUCUUUCUCUAACCUUGUAAGCUGCUGCUUGGCAAUCAAUAUCGUUGUACAUUGAGCAUGCACUUAAUACUUAAAAAUUUUUGAGCACUUAAAGCUCUUUCAACUGUUUCACUACCUGAACAGCUGUUUGAAAGAUUGUGCAAUACACUUUGAUAAGAAUUAUAUUCGUUCUUCCCCUCCUUCUUCAGCUCCACUGGUAUUGAUCCUGGACCGGGUGUAUUUGAGGUGGUGCAUCGUAUCCAUGACAACCCAGACCACACAGAUCAGUAGAUGUACUCGUGUGGUUCACUGGCCCCCAAAAUGAGGAGGGGAAGAUGUAUGGACUCACACUAUCACAAGCUGGGAGAGCUGUGGGAGAAGAGUGAGGUUGCCAGUGUUUGCCAAGUUACUGGGUGAGAGAGUGUUCAAGAGACACCUAGAGCUGUAUCUUCUUGUUAUGGACUGAGCAGUGACAAUGCCUGGUGGUGCAGUCUGCUGGAGUGGACUGUCUCACCUCACUCUUCUGUCAGCUGCUGGGGAAAAUGAUCCUUAGAGGGAGAAUAUAAUUAUAGAACAACAUAAUCCAAUAGAGUACUCUGACGUUCCUCUCUGAGGGGUGUGGCUGAUUCAUGUGACUAAUAAUUAUAUUAUGGAAAGGUAUCUGGACAGUUUGACAGAACAGUAACUGUAGCUUCCCUCAAUGUUGUGCAUAUUUAUUAUACAUUUUUAUUAACAAACAUUAUUAUGUAAUUGCUAUAAUAAUUACAGUAACUGUUUAAAAUAAUGG